UACGAAGGGAGCGAGCGUUGUUCGGAAUCACUGGGCUUAAAGCGUGCGUAGGCGGAUUUGUAAGUCAGAAGUGAAAGCCCAGGGCUCAACCUUGGAAUUGCUUUUGAGACUGCAAGUCUAGAAUUCGGUAGAGGCUAGUGGAAUGUCCAGUGUAGAGGUGAAAUUCGCAGAUAUUGGACGGAACACCAGUGGCGAAGGCGACUAGCUGGGCCGAUAUUGACGCUGAGGCACGAAAGCGUGGGUAGCAAACAGG
rnacentral:rRNA from 1 species